rnacentral:lncRNA from 10 species
UUUUUUUUUUUGGUUUUGUUUUGUUUUGUUUUGUUUUAGAGACAGGGUCUCACUAUAUUCCCCAGGCUCAACUCCUGGACUCAAGUGAUCCUCCCACCUUGGUCUCCGGAAGUGCUGGAAUUACCGCCACUGUGCCCAGACCCCAAAUUUAUUAUUAAAAAAUUCAAACAUACAGUAACGUUGAAAAAACGUAUAAUAAUCACCAGGACAUCCAUAAUUAUAUUCAUCAAUUAUUAGCAUUCUGACAUGUUCAUUUUAUCUAGAACCAUUUGAAAGCACAGACAUGAAGACACUUGACCCCUAAAUAUUUUAGCACGUGCUUCCUAAUUAGAGGGACAUUCUUCUAUACAACCAUAAGACCA